AGGGGGGCUGGGGGGGUUCUGAGGGGGUCUGGAGGUCCUAUGGGGGGGUCUGGGGGUCCUAUGGGUGAUCCUCGCACCCUGUGGGGCUCCCUGGGGGUCCCAUGGGGGGGGCCUGAGGGGGUCUGGGGGUCCUAUGGGGAGUCCUGGGGGGGUCUUGAGGGGGUCUGGGGGUUCUAUGGGGGGGCCUGAGGGGGUCUGGGUGUCCUAUGGGGGGUCCCUGGGCAGACCGGGGGGGGGCGCUGGGGGGCGUGGGGGGGGCCCGGGGGGGGGGCCCGGGGGGGGGGUCCUAUGGGGAUCCCUGGAGGGUCGCUCUCACCCUCUCCCAUCCCCUGGGGGGGUCCCAUCCUUUGAGGGGGAUCUCCCACCCCCUUGUGCUGUCUCCCCCCCCCCGUGGGGACCCCCCCCCCCCCUUGAUGCCCCCCCCCUGACGCCCCCCCCCCGUGCCCCCCCCAGGCGAGGUGGACCUGGAGCUGCGCCUGGCUCGCCUGGAGCGCCUGGUGGGGAGGCGCCCGCUGCUGCUCAACAGCGUCCUGCUGAGACAGAACCCGCACAACGUGCACGAGUGGCACAAGCGCGUGCGGCUGCACCACGGCAACCCGCAGGAGGUGGGGACAUCGGGGACAUCGGGGACAUCAGGGACAUUGGGGACAUUGAGGACAUCGGGGACAUUGGGGACAUUGGGACACUGGGGACAGGUGGGGUCAUAGGGACAUGGGGACAUUGGGGUAGGGGGGACAAUGCCAGGACCCCCACAACGUGCACAAGGGGCACAAGUGUGUGUGCCUGCACCACGGCCACCCCCAGCAGGUGGGGGGGCACCGGGACAUGGGGGGGACACUGGGGACAUUGGGGAUGUUGGGGACACUGGGGACAUCGGGGACAUUGGGGACGUUGGGGACACUGGGGCCACGGGGAGGUUGGGGACACAGGGAGGUUGGGGUGAGGGGCGCAGUGCCAGGACCCCCAAAAUGUGCACGAGGGGCACAAGCGCGUGCGCCUGCACCACGGAAACCCCCAGGAGGUGGGGACAUCGGGGACACUGGGGACACGGGGACAUUGGGGACAUUGGGGACACGGGGAGGUUGGGGACAUUGGGGACAUGGGGACAUUGGGGUGAGGGGCGCAGUGCCAGAAUCCCCAAAAUGUGCACGAGGGGCAAGAG
rnacentral:lncRNA from 1 species